rnacentral:rRNA from 1 species
UGGGGAAUAUUGGACAAUGGGGGGAACCCUGAUCCAGCCAUGCCGCGUGUGUGAAGAAGGCCUUAUGGUGGUAAAGCACUUUAAGCGAGGAGGAGGGUACUGGUAUUAAUACUACCAGGUACUGGACGUUACUCGCAGAAUAAGCACCGGCUAACUCUGUGCCAGCAGCCGCGGUAAUACAGAGGGUGCGAGCGUUAAUCGGAUUUACUGGGCGUAAAGCGUGCGUAGGCGGCUAAUUGAGUCGGAUGUGAAAUCCCCGAGCUUAACUUGGGAAUUGCAUUCGAUACUGGUUAGCUAGAGUGUGGGAGAGGAUGGUAGAAUUCCAGGUGUAGCGGUGAAAUGCGUAGAGAUCUGGAGGAAUACCGAUGGCGAAGGCAGCCAUCUGGCCUAACACUGACGCUGAGGUACGAAAGCAUGGGGAGCAAACAGG